rnacentral:rRNA from 1 species
CAAACCANUAUCGGCAACGGAUAUCUCGGCUCUCGCAUCGAUGAAGAACGUUGCCAAAUGCGAUACUUGGUGUGAAUUGCAGAAUCCCGUGAACCAUCGAGUCUUUGAACGCAAGUUGCGCCCGAAGCCACUAGGCCGAGGGCACGUCUGCCUGGGCGUCACGC